rnacentral:rRNA from 1 species
UACGUAGGGGGCCCAGCGUUGUCCGGAAUCAUUGGGCGUAAAGCGCGCGUAGGCGGCCAGAUAAGUCCGGUGUGAAAGUCAAAGGCUCAACCUUUGAAUGCCGCUGGAAACUGUCUGGCUAGAGUCCGGGAGGGGCGAGUGGAAUUCCUGGUGUAGCGGUGAAAUGCGCAGAUAUCAGGAGGAACACCGGUGGCGAAGGCGGCUCUCUGGGGCUGUUCUGACGCUGAGGCGCGAAAGCUGGGGGAGCAAACAGGAUUAGAAACCCCGGUAGU